AGAGUUUGAUCCUGGCUCAGGAUGAACGCCGGCGGUGUGCCUAAUACAUGCAAGUCGUACGCACUGGCCCAACUGAUUGAUGGUGCUUGCACCUGAUUGACGAUGGAUCACCAGUGAGUGGCGAACGGGUGAGUAACACGUAGGUAACCUGCCUCGGAGCGGGGGAUAACAUUUGGAAACAGAUGCUAAUACCGCAUAACAACAAAAGCCACAUGGCUUUUGUUUGAAAGAUGGCUUUGGCUAUCACUCUGGGAUGGACCUGCGGUGCAUUAGCUAGUUGGUAAGGUAACGGCUUACCAAGGCAAUGAUGCAUAGCCGAGUUGAGAGACUGAUCGGCCACAAUGGAACUGAGACACGGUCCAUACUCCUACGGGAGGCAGCAGUAGGGAAUCUUCCACAAUGGGCGCAAGCCUGAUGGAGCAACACCGCGUGAGUGAAGAAGGGUUUCGGCUCGUAAAGCUCUGUUGUUGGAGAAGAACGUGCGUGAGAGUAACUGUUCACGCAGUGACGGUAUCCAACCAGAAAGUCACGGCUAACUACGUGCCAGCAGCCGCGGUAAUACGUAGGUGGCAAGCGUUAUCCGGAUUUAUUGGGCGUAAAGCGAGCGCAGGCGGUUGCUUAGGUCUGAUGUGAAAGCCUUCGGCUUAACCGAAGAAGUGCAUCGGAAACCGGGCGACUUGAGUGCAGAAGAGGACAGUGGAACUCCAUGUGUAGCGGUGGAAUGCGUAGAUAUAUGGAAGAACACCAGUGGCGAAGGCGGCUGUCUGGUCUGCAACUGACGCUGAGGCUCGAAAGCAUGGGUAGCGAACAGGAUUAGAUACCCUGGUAGUCCAUGCCGUAAACGAUGAGUGCUAGGUGUUGGGAGGGGUUUCCGCCCUUCAGUGCCGGAGCUAACGCAUUAAGCACUCCGCCUGGGGAGUACGACCGCAAGGUUGAAACUCAAAGGAAUUGACGGGGGCCCGCACAAGCGGUGGAGCAUGUGGUUUAAUUCGAAGCUACGCGAAGAACCUUACCAGGUCUUGACAUCUUGCGCUAACCUUAGAGAUAAGGCGUUCCCUUCGGGGACGCAAUGACAGGUGGUGCAUGGUCGUCGUCAGCUCGUGUCGUGAGAUGUUGGGUUAAGUCCCGCAACGAGCGCAACCCUUGUUACUAGUUGCCAGCAUUAAGUUGGGCACUCUAGUGAGACUGCCGGUGACAAACCGGAGGAAGGUGGGGACGACGUCAGAUCAUCAUGCCCCUUAUGACCUGGGCUACACACGUGCUACAAUGGACGGUACAACGAGUCGCAAGCUCGCGAGAGUAAGCUAAUCUCUUAAAGCCGUUCUCAGUUCGGACUGUAGGCUGCAACUCGCGGACACGAAGUCGGAAUCGCUAGUAAUCGCGCAUCAGCCAUGGCGCGGUGAAUACGUUCCCGGGCCUUGCACACACGGCCCGUCA
rnacentral:rRNA from 1 species